UCCGAAUUGGUGUAGUGGCCAACAUUUGACGCUCUCAUCUUCAUCACAUCCGUGAUGUAGAAAAAGUGCCGUCAAGCCCGGGGUUCGAUUCCCCGAUUCGGAG